GACGAACGCUGGCGGCGUGCUUAGCACAUGCAAGUCGAACGGAAAGGCCCUGCUUUUGUGGGGUGCUCGAGUGGCGAACGGGUGAGUAACACGUGAGUAACCUGCCCUUGACUUUGGGAUAACUUCAGGAAACUGGGGCUAAUACCGGAUAGGAGCUCCUGCUGCAUGGUGGGGGUUGGAAAGUUUCGGCGGUUGGGGAUGGACUCGCGGCUUAUCAGCUUGUUGGUGGGGUAGUGGCUUACCAAGGCUUUGACGGGUAGCCGGCCUGAGAGGGUGACCGGCCACAUUGGGACUGAGAUACGGCCCAGACUCCUACGGGAGGCAGCAGUGGGGAAUAUUGCACAAUGGGCGGAAGCCUGAUGCAGCAACGCCGCGUGCGGGAUGACGGCCUUCGGGUUGUAAACCGCUUUCGCCUGUGACGAAGCGUGAGUGACGGUAAUGGGUAAAGAAGCACCGGCUAACUACGUGCCAGCAGCCGCGGUGAUACGUAGGGUGCGAGCGUUGUCCGGAUUUAUUGGGCGUAAAGGGCUCGUAGGUGGUUGAUCGCGUCGGAAGUGUAAUCUUGGGGCUUAACCCUGAGCGUGCUUUCGAUACGGGUUGACUUGAGGAAGGUAGGGGAGAAUGGAAUUCCUGGUGGAGCGGUGGAAUGCGCAGAUAUCAGGAGGAACACCAGUGGCGAAGGCGGUUCUCUGGGCCUUUCCUGACGCUGAGGAGCGAAAGCGUGGGGAGCGAACAGGCUUAGAUACCCUGGUAGUCCACGCUGUAAACGGUGGGUACUAGGUGUGGGGUCCAUUCCACGGGUUCCGUGCCGUAGCUAACGCUUUAAGUACCCCGCCUGGGGAGUACGGCCGCAAGGCUAAAACUCAAAGGAAUUGACGGGGCCCCGCACAAGCGGCGGAGCAUGCGGAUUAAUUCGAUGCAACGCGUAGAACCUUACCUGGGUUUGACAUGGAUCGGGAGCGCUCAGAGAUGGGUGUGCCUCUUUUGGGGUCGGUUCACAGGUGGUGCAUGGCUGUCGUCAGCUCGUGUCGUGAGAUGUUGGGUUAAGUCCCGCAACGAGCGCAACCCUUGUUCACUGUUGCCAGCACGUUAUGGUGGGGACUCAGUGGAGACCGCCGGGGUCAACUCGGAGGAAGGUGGGGAUGACGUCAAGUCAUCAUGCCCCUUAUGUCCAGGGCUUCACGCAUGCUACAAUGGCUGGUACAGAGAGUGGCGAGCCUGUGAGGGUGAGCGAAUCUCGGAAAGCCGGUCUCAGUUCGGAUUGGGGUCUGCAACUCGACCUCAUGAAGUCGGAGUCGCUAGUAAUCGCAGAUCAGCAACGCUGCGGUGAAUACGUUCCCGGG
rnacentral:rRNA from 1 species